rnacentral:rRNA from 1 species
AGACGUAGAGUGCAAGCGUUGUUCGGAAUCACUGGGCUUAAAGGGCACGCAGGUGGCAAGGUAACUCAGGUGUGGAAUCUUCGGGCUUAACCCGGAAAUUGCGUCUGAAAAUGUCUUCCUAGAGGGCAGGAGGGGUGAGUGGAACUUCUGGUGGAGCGGUGAAAUGCGUAGAUAUCAGAAGGAACGCCGGAGGCGAAAGCGACUCACUGGCCUGUUUCUGACACUGAGGUGCGAAAGCUAGGGGAGCAAACAGGAUUAGAUACCCCGGUAGUCC